GCAAAUCCAAAGUUCAACUCUAGAUAUGUCCUGUAAAAUGGUCUAAAACACUGUGUUGGAUAUUGUGGAUUAGCUUCCUCAGCCUUAAGCCCAUCUCCCUUCUAGCACCAAGAAGCUGCAAAGCUAAGAAAUGACACCUGGUCCCUUUAAAUGAUUCAUAAACACUCAUAAAGAGAAAGGCAAGUCUGACAGAUGCAGUACGCCCUGUGCUCAGCAGCAGUGAUGGAACCUCCUGAACUGAGACUUCUUCCCUGCUGGAGGCAGACUGUAGCAUCUCACCCCAUGCCCAGGUCUGGAAUGAGAUUUGGGGAGUCUUUACUGGAAGUUCAGCCUAGAAGCUCUUGCUUCACUCCCUCCUCUACAACGAUUUCACAAACCUCUUAAUAGCCAAAUACCUUUCUUCUUAAACAGGCUAGAUUCUGUUGCCUACCACUGAACUCUGACUGACAAAGGCAUGAAAAAACCUACCUUAAGCCAUAUUUUCUGGAGGAAAAAUAUUUAGCAAAAAUAGUUCUAACAGCAUGAAUGUUUUAGUUAGAACUCAUAUUCUUGUAGCUCCAGCUAUUAACUCUGUGAAAAUGACUUUAAUAUUUGUAUUUCUACCUCCAACUUCUGACCUUGUCUGCAUUCUCUUAUCUCAGAUUACUUCCUGUACUUCCACAGUUGGAUUUCCUGCCAGCACCAGGACGUCAUAUGUCAAUAAUUUCAUUUUUCUUCUUCUCUUUCAUUAUCCUGGCCACCUGCACUCUGAAUUCCAGCAUAAUCUGACUUUCCUCUUUCUCCCUUACCAAACCUUGAAAAUUCUUUUGCAUAAUCUCUCUUUUCUAUCUCUUUUCCACCACCACUAUCAUCAGUCUAGUUCAGGCCUCCUUCAUCUCAGACUUGCACUAUUUUAUUAUUCUGUUGCUUUCCCUGUUAUUAGUAUCUUCCCAACCCCCUUAGCCAUGGCAACCCAAUUCAUGGCAACCCAAUUCAUACUCCUAAAAACCACUCUCAUCUUGAUACAUCCCACUCAAGCAUUUCCAGACUUCCAAUACUUUGAAUACAAGAUUCAAACAACAUAAGUUGGCACUCAAGGCUUUCACAAUGUGCCUGCCAACUCUCUCCCCAAGGUUAUUUCCCACUACUUCCCUCACUGAAUCAGUGCUACAGUCAACUAAGCCAAACUGGCCUCUUACUUCCUCACCUUAUUAAUACACUAUUUUGAAAAGCCAUGUGUUGUACAUACAUUUUCCUUUCUUGCAGUACCUUCUCUGCAUAUCAUGUAAUGCUGAAUGGAAAUCAAACGUCUUUCUCCAUUGGAAGGGAAAGGGAGCAGGGAUGAGGGCACAGACUCCAGAAGCUAUCUGAAUGACAAACUGGAGAACAGUUACUACAGAGGGAAAAUAACAUUUCAGAUGAUCUUUAUUAGUUUAGUCAAUUGACUAACAGGCAUACAUUUUAUUUAGAUCCUGGUCGAGCUACAGCCAGGUGUUAAUCUCGUGACCCUCCAGGUUUGAAAAUACUGUUCAAAUGGCCUGAAGCCAUUAGAUCAUCCACACUGGAUGAGAAAUAGUACAGCUGACUUACAGAAAUGUCUUUCUGGUGAAUAUUAUUCUCACUAAGACCAGACAAGAACUUGGUUAACUGUAAAGAAAAAUCCAGGCAGAUGACUGGCUAGCUGAAACGCCCAUCACCACCAUAUGUUUUCUCUGCGACAAUUUUAGGAUCUGCAGCAGGAAUGCAUUAUUCAUUAUAUCCAUCUCCCCAGAUGGACUCAACUCUACUUGAAGAGCAAAGAGAAACAGUUUUUCUUCAUCCUCUCUCCUAUUUUGCAGUUUGCUUACAGGAGCAGGUAAAAGGAUUCCCUCCCAGAUACGUAGCUUCUUUUCGCACAUCAUCUCUGCCCCCUUCCCCACUGCCACUGCACUUUGCCACUUGAUGCUUUGGCAUAGUACACUGGUGCAUCUGAACUCAUACUUGCUGAUUACGGUCUUAGGCUCACUUUGUUCACAUUGUUGCUAUCNNNNNNNNNNNNNNNNAAGGGGUGGAUGUCUAAGGCCCUAAGGGUUAUUUCUGGCACCCUGCCAACUGUCACUUGUCAAAACCCGAGAAGCUCCCACAAUCUUCUUUCAACAUCAGCCAGUGAUUCCCCAGAGGGCUGGGUGUUUUCUCUUCAUCUUCUCUCCAUCGCCUACAUAUUUAGUUCAAAGAACUCUAGACUAGGCAAAUGUCUGCUUCUUUANNNNNNNNNNNNNNNNNNNNNNNNNNNNNNNNNNNNNNNNNNNNNNNNNNNNNNNNNNNNNNNNNNNNNNNNNNNNNNNNNNNNNNNNNNNNNNNNNNNAAGAACUCUAGACUAGGCAAAUGUCUGCUUCUUUAUUCUAAGAUAUUCCCUACCUAUGGCCAAAAGUAUAUCCUGCUAUUAUUUGCAACCAGGAUGUAGAGAAGUAAAUCUCAUCCUUAGAUUCCAUAGCUACUCUUUACCUUUUAAAUUCUCCUCAAUCACCUGAAGUCACAAAACUUAACUGGAAAGAGUGAAUGAAAAUUUUCCUACACCUAAAGUCCAUCAAUUUUUUUUCUAGAAACUUCUUGACCAAAUAUGCUUCCAAACCCAUUCCUUUUCCAAUUAAUAGGCUCAAUAACUCUUUCUAGACUUCCAUACCAACUAAGUGUUGCAGGAAAGACAAGCCACAUCAAAUCUGCAGAGAGCCACAUUCAAGGAAUCACAACAUCUAUUUUUCACUCUAAAGGUUAAUUUUCACUGAAUAGUUAAGGCCCUCCUGAAUGAAUCAGGUUAGUAUUCCAUUCUUUGUCCCAUAUUCUUUUCUUUUGUUUCCUCUCAUCCAGGUCACAUUCUUCUGCUCUCAUUUCUCAAGAGCCAAGCAUUAUUCACCAUCAUUCUCAGGAGUAUGCAUACUCCUUUUCAAGAUGUUCCAGAUUGUUAUCCAUUUCUUGAUGUGCAGACGCUCACAUAUCUUGAAGUAUCAUGCUUGCCUCGCCUUGAGGUAGAUUUUUGCAUUCUCUUCUCACAUGUCUCUACUUUUAAUUCUUCUGACUCAGGUUUUCAUUCUCUUCUAUCUUACUAGAUUUAUUGCUGGGUUUUCUCAGUUCUCUCCAAAAACCGUGUGCUGCUGCUGCUGCUAAGUCGCUUCAGUCGUGUC
rnacentral:lncRNA from 1 species